UGAGAGGUGAAAAAGGCGGCGUUCUCCCCGUCUGCUCACAGACGUUAAGAUCACAAGAGGGAAUCAAAUCAUCGUACAGGACCUAAACAACUUUCAGCAACUUGCCCUAACCACUUGUUACUGCAGCCUUAACCGUUGUAUUUGCUGUUUAGUGCAAGGGUGUUAAAGCGUUUAAUGAACAGUCAUACUAAAAAUCAUGGCAAGAAGAGGGGGACUGGGGCUGUUUUUGCUGAGUGCAGAGAUUCUGAACUUGGGGAUCACAGAGAUUCCUACAGUUACACUUGCUGCAUUAGUUGGCCAGGUUGUCAUCUUCUUGGAUUUCUUCCCUAGAUAUUUUCCAUCAGCAGCUUCUGUGUGUGUGAGUUCUUACAUGGUCUGGAACAAUGGUAUGUGGAAACGCCUCGUUUUAGCCCCUUUAUAUCAUGGCAAUGAUAUGCACCUAUACUUCAACAUGAUCUCAUUUCUGAUGAAAGGAAGAACCCUUGAAAGGAAAUUUGGAAGUAUAUACUUUUUGUGGAUGCUUUCAGUGUUCACAGUCUUGUCCAGCUUGCUUUACGUGGUCCUUGGUGUACUGUUAGCAGAAUUGCUAGAUGAUAUUCACUACCUUACACAAUGUGCAAUUGGCUUCUCAGGUGUUGUGUUUGCACUGAAAGUGGUGACAACACACUAUGCUCGAGAGACUCAAUAUCACCUCUUUGGCUUCAUCCGAGUCCCUGCACGCAUGAUCUACUGGGUAGAACUUUUGCUAAUUCAGAUCUUGGUGCCAAAUGUCUCCUUUAUAGGUCACCUGGCUGGAAUCAUUGUUGGGCUGCUGUAUAUCAAAGGACCUCUUGGGCCCAUAAUGAAUUCCAUCAUCUCACCCUAUUAUGGACAGGCACACAGACGAAGUCGAUGGGCUAGAACAACUGGGCCAUAUAGUGACCCUUACGUAGGCCGGAAAUACAACAGGAAUUAUAAUGCCAACACACCUUACAAUGCUCAGUACAACCGUGGUUAUACAGGCGGAACUCAGUCAUCAGCACCAUUUGCAGGAGAAAGCCAGUACAUGUACCAGGACUUGACUGGAGGAUUAUCAGAGGAGGAGCAGUUAGAUCGUGCUGUUUUUGAGAGCAUGCAACAGCCUCAAAGCUUCAGAGGUAGAGAUUCACCUAGUUAGCGUAUGGUCCCAGCUCUCCAUAGCCCUGACAACAUAGAUGUCUUCAUGCAUGUCUGAUCUGUAUGUUGUGACCACUUUCUGUCAUCAUCGUCAUUCAUCCCUUGGAACUGGUCAUGGUGGGGGAAGCACAUGGAUUGAUGCAGCAGAUGACAAGACCUGCCACUCAUGCCUGUCUUGGGUGAAGUGAGCAGGUCCUGCACAAAAACUGCAUCCAGACCUUGAUGAGCUCAGAGCAAGGCGAUGUUCUCGGUUCCGUAGAUGCAUUUAGAGAGUGCUUGUAAGGCCUGUAUUUAUGUUGCAGAGUGGAUAUUAAAGUAUGUUUGUGAGAGAUAUAUAUAUAGUGUAUGAGCACGUGUGGAAGUCCCUCUGUGUGCUUGUUUCCAGCACUGUGAUAGUUUCGGCUGUCUCAAUCUUUGCAUUAAGUCUCACACACAUACAGUCCCAGCAGAAUAGUUUGGCAUUCAUCUUGGAAGUGUACUCCAAACUUUGAGCUCUGCCUAUCCAUGCGCGCGUGCACAUGCACACAGAGUAGUAUUUUUUUCUGCAUCUCAUUCUUGUCAUUCUCAAAAUAUCUGACAUGGAGAUAGCAGCACCUGCAAUUGCUAUAUGGUGAAUCUAUUUUACCAGUUUUUUCCCUUUAAAAUGCUCGUCUGUUUAAUACCCGAGGUAUAGUACAUUCAUUUGGAGUUACACCAAUUCUAAAAGGGGGCCAAAAUUGUACAUUUUUGAGACCCAUUUUUCAGAGGCCUUUUCGGACACUACCUGCUUCCAAGAAAUGGCAGCUGUGAUGUUGCAUCGAUGUUUCCUUAGUAUUUAGGGUUAGUACUACAGCUGCAUCUGGUGGUAUAAAUACAAACCCUUUAUUGUCAAAUGUUAUAUGUUAAAAAGUACAGGCAUAUGGCCUAGUGUUUUUUUUGUCACUAAAUAUCAUCCUUGUGGUUGAUGUACUUUUUCUGGCAAUGCAGAUGUGUCAUACUUAAGCAAAGUGGGUUUGAAUCUUCAAAUACAUGUGCAUUCCAGGUUUUCUAUUAUAAUUUCAAAAGAAUGUGGUUGUAUCACGGGUCUCAAUUUCUGAAGAGAAAUGAAGCAAGACCACUUGCACUUUUGCAAGUGCUUGGGGCUUUUCUCUUGUUUGUUGAACUAGGUUUCUUUCUUGUUCUGCAAUGCACACAGAAUAUUUCAAUUUAUACCAGGAAAUAAAACUUGCAUCUACA
rnacentral:misc_RNA from 1 species